GUCUCAAGAUUAAGCCAUGCAUGUCUAUGUACAAGCCGUCUCGUUACGGUGAAACCGCGAAAGGCUCAUUAAAUCAGUUAUGGUUCCUUAGAUCGUACCCACGUUACAUGGAUAACUGUGGUAAUUCUAGAGCUAAUACAUGCCGAUAGAGCUCCGACCAGCGGCUUACGCGGCGGUUCCGCCGUCGUCGUCGGCCGUUCGGAAGGAGCGCUUUUAUUAGAUCAAAACCGGCCAAGCGUAUCGGUCGCGCUUCGCGCGCGUCCGUGCGUAAGUGGCCCGCGCAAAGACUUGACGACUCUGAAUAACUUCGAGCAGAUCGUACGGCCCUGGUGCCGACGACGUAUCUUUCAAAUGUCUGCCUUAUCAACUGUCGACGGUAGGUUUUACGCCUACCGUGGUGGUAACGGGUAACGGGGAAUCAGGGUUCGAUUCCGGAGAGGGAGCCUGAGAAACGGCUACCACAUCCAAGGAAGGCAGCAGGCGCGCAAAUUAUCCAUUCACGGCACGUGGAGAUAGUGACGAAAAAUAACGAUACGGGACUCAUCCGAGGCCCCGUAAUCGGAAUGAGUACACUUUAAAACCUUGGUCACGCGAGGAUCAAUUGGAGGGCAAGUCUGG
rnacentral:rRNA from 1 species